UUUGGAUUCGUAAACAACGCAAAGAGAGAAGCUAAUUUUCUGUGCCAGUAAUUGUCAUAGGCAAGACUGAAGAGCGAAAUGAGUGGAGCAUGCGUUAAACAGUAGUAGAACAAAUAUCUCUUUCAUGUACCAGAUCCAACAGCACGCGUUAAACAGGAGUACAUCCUGAGCUUUCCAACUUCUGUUAUCACAUACAAGGUUUCCAACUUCUGUUAUCACAUACAAGUAAUCUCUAAUCAUCAUCAACCGUUGCAGUCCCAAGAAUACAUAUAUGAGGAAAAUGGAAGGAAAUAUUGUAGCUGCUCCAACUGACAUAGAAA